GACGAACGCUGGCGGCGUGCUUAACACAUGCAAGUCGAACGGAAAGGCCCCCAUCUUGGGGGGUGUGCGCGAGGGGCGAACGGGUGAGUAACACGUGGGUGAUCUGCCCGGUACUUCGGGAUAAGCUUGGGAAACUGGGUCUAAUACCGGAUAGGACCAUGGUGCAGUGUCGCAGGGGGGAAAGAUUAGUGUUUGGGGGCAGGAUGGGCUCGCGGCCUAUCAGCGUGUGGGUGGGGUAAUGGCCUACCAAGGCGUCGACGGGUAGCCGGCCUGGGAGGGUGGGCGGGCACAUUGGGACGGAGACACGGCCCCGACUCCUACGGGAGGCAGCAUUGGGGAAUAUUGCACAAUGGGCGCAAGCCUGAUGCAGCGACGCCGCGUGGGGGAUGCCGGCCUUCGGGUUGUAACCUUCUUUCGUUAGGGACGAAGCCACUCUUAUUGGGUGUGGUGACGGUACCUUUGUUAAGAAGCACCGGCUAACUACGUG
rnacentral:rRNA from 1 species